UCUAUUUAUUCCCGACAUUUCGUUGACGUUACAGGCGCCGUCAUCUUGGAUGACUCUCUAGUCAUAUCUCUCGAUCUUAUAAUCGCGAUUUACUCGACGAUCUUGAAGAUACUGUGAAAGAAAGCUCAGAUAACGAUGUAACACCAACAGUCAUAUUUAUAAACCACCAGCAUAUUAUUCUUUAACUCAUAAAAAAAUGUUAAAUUGUAUUUAAUCUAAAAUAACACUAAAAUUAAAAAGCUCGAAAGAUUUUUUA